GCUUGGCUGGCUCUGACAGUAGAGCAUGUGACUUUCAAUCUCAGAGUCAUGAGUUCAAGCCUCACAUUAGGCA
rnacentral:tRNA from 1 species